rnacentral:tRNA from 1 species
GGACAGGUGGCCGAGUGGCUGAAGGCGCUCCCCUGCUAAGGGAGUAUACGUGAAAGCGUAUCGUGGGUUCGAAUCCCACCCUGUCCGCCA